rnacentral:rRNA from 1 species
CCGCCAAACAACUACGAGUCACACUUAAAACUUAAAAGACUUGACGGUACUUCAUCACGACCUAGAGGAGCCUGUCUGAUAACCGACAAUCCACGAUUAACCCAACCCUUUCUCGCCCAACAGUCUAUAUACCGCCGUCGCCAGCUUACCUUGUAAAAGAAAUAAAGUGAGCCAAACAGUACUGCACUAAAACGACAGGUCGAGGUGUAACCCAUGAAAGGGACUAAGAUGGGCUACAUUCUCCAACCGAGAAUACGAAUAGCACUAUGAAACUAGUGCCUGAAGGCGGAUUUAGCAGUAAGAUAGGAAUAAAACACCUAACUGAACACAACGCAAUGAAGUGCGUACACACCGCCCGUCAUCCCUGCCACACA